UAUUUUUUUGCUGAUUGGUUGUGAUCAAAUGUUCACAAGACCAGAGGAGGUUUAAAAAGGGAGAUUUCUAGACGUCUGUCAGAAGCGUCAACAUCAGCUGAUACUGCUUUCCUCCAGACGAACACAGCAACAUUUACAGUACAGAGGCCGGCUGAUCAGAGCAGACAAGAUGAACAUCGUUCUGUUGAUCGCUGUCAUGCUCACUCUUUCCGUUGUUGAUGGGAACAAUCAGCCUUGUCUGUGGAACCCUGACAACAAUGCGUACAACAAAUUUGUUCAGAGACACAUCAUCCAAGAACCCUUUGACAGACUAUCAUGGGUUGACUGGCAAAACUACAUAUGGAAGUACGGACUCAGCCACAGACCCAGGCAGUCCUUCAUCGAGGGCUGGGAUGUGGGAAGGGUCGCGUACAUCUGCAAUGGCGGUGGCUACCCCAUUUUGCCUCCUCAACCAGGUAACUUAUGCAUGAGCUCCUUUGGCUUGCUGGUGUAUGAUCUCACAGUCGACAACAACGGCAGAGUUACAAGUCUCAUGCAAAACGUACAAUAUGUGAUCGUGGCUUGUGAUGUGGUUGUCAAUCAGUGCCUUCCUGUCCAUUUUGAGAGGUACUUCCACCAAAUGCCAGACUUGACAGCUGGACCCUGCAUGCCUGCAUGAGAAACCGCUUAGAACAGGCAAAAUCUAGCUAAAGCUUUUUUUACUGUUAACUGAUUUGUUUCUUAAAACUUAAUCGUCACCUUACCUCAAAGUUUAGAGCUCAGUUGUGUAUAUAAAACUGUUUGGUAUCCUUUUUCCUGAUGAGGUCAAUUCAUACUAUUGUCUACUAUGUUGGGUUUUGGUCUCCACACUUCAUGACUAACGUUCGCUAUUUUAUGUCAAGAUGACUUUGGCAUCAGACUUUUGGAAGAUUUUCGUUACUUAACGACACACCUUGAAACCAACCAAAUAUCAACGCCAUCUGUCCUCAGUAUUCUACAUGAAAUUGUCCUGACAUUGAAUUUUGGUCACCUGACAUCACAACCUAAAUUCAAUCAAAUAUCAACAUCUAACAACAUCAGUGUCCAGCUGAGGUUGGUGUAAAUGCCCUUCAUUUUGUCAAAAUAAAAGUCCUCUGCCACUUUAAUGUUUUUAUUGGCAAAUACACAUGGUUUAAAUAUUAAUGGACACAUGUCACCUGUCAAUAUUUACACCUGUGUUAAACUGUUUGUAUCCUUUUUCAUGAUGAGGUCAGUUCUAUCACUCUGUAUAAUCCUCUUAUUGUGAAACUAACUAUAUAUAUCUCCAUGUACUUUCUCCAUAACAGGAUCUGUUAUGAAGCUGUAUUAGAAUCCUGUUUGUUUUGCUUUUGUUUAUAAUCAAAUAAAUGGCUUACAGCUGCAUCAAUCAAU